AUGAUCGUAAGGACAUGUGGAGCGCUUAGAAGUGAGAAUGCCGGUGUGAGUAGCGAAAGACGGGUGAGAAUCCCGUCCACCGAUUGACUAAGGUUUCCAGAGGAAGGCUCGUCCGCUCUGGGUUAGUCGGGUCCUAAGCUGAGGCCGACAGGCGUAGGCGAUGGAUAACAGGUUGAUAUUCCUGUACCACCUAUAAUCGUUUUAAUCGAUGGGGGGACGCAGUAGGAUAGGCGAAGCGUGCGAUUGGAUUGCACGUCUAAGCAGUAAGGCUGAGUAUUAGGCAAAUCCGGUACUCGUUAAGGCUGAGCUGUGAUGGGGAGAAGACAUUGUGUCUUCGAGUCGUUGAUUUCACACUGCCGAGAAAAGCCUCUAGAUAGAAAAUAGGUGCCCGUACCGCAAACCGACACAGGUAGUCAAGAUGAGAAUUCUAAGGUGAGCGAGCGAACUCUCGUUAAGGAACUCGGCAAAAUGACCCCGUAACUUCGGGAGAAGGGGUGCUCUUUAGGGUUAACGCCCAGA
rnacentral:rRNA from 1 species